rnacentral:tRNA from 1 species
UGCCAAGGGAUGGGAAUCGAACCCACGACCUUCCGCUUACCUGGCAGAUGCCAUAACCACUAGGCUACCCUGGA